CUGCUUCUCACUAGUUUUCUUGAUUCUUUCUGCAGCCUCCAGUAGCGUGUGAAUGCUGUGAAUGACUUCUCCUGGAAGACCUCAAGCAUCUUGCCAUAGGGAACCUUCCAGUCCCAGAGUGACCCCUUUGGUAGCUAUUCUCAGUACUGGAUGAAAAAUUCUUUUUCCCCUCUCUCCCCUCCUUGUUCAUCUAAGUAACAGAGAAAUACCUACACUGAAUGAUGAAUCUUCUACAAGUCUUAGAGACAUCAGCUUCAGUAUAUGCAAAUAAAGAUUCUGUUUUUAAAAGGGUCUCUUUGUGUACACACCAUCAUCAUCCUAAUAGCUCCUCGGUCAGUGUGCUGCAUCUCUGCAUUUGCAUAAAAGCUGAGGCUGACAAUAAAGUUUCCAGUUAGUGCCAAAUGAGUCGGUGUUUUUUGUAAUGUUAAACACUUCUCCAGUGCGCUGAGACCACGCAUCUCAUUUCAUGUGGGAUAGUGAACAAUUAACAUCUUUCAGCCACUUAGCCACCAG
rnacentral:lncRNA from 1 species